rnacentral:rRNA from 1 species
GACGAACGCUGGCGGCGUGCUUAACACAUGCAAGUCGAACGGAAAGGCCUUUUCGGCGGUACUCGAGUGGCGAACGGGUGAGUAACACGUGGGUGAUCUGCCCUGCACUCUGGGAUAAGCCUGGGAAACUGGGUCUAAUACCGGAUAGGACCGCACUUUAGUGUGUGUGGUGGAAAGUUUUUUCGGUGUAGGAUGAGCCCGCGGCCUAUCAGCUUGUUGGUGGGGUAAUGGCCUACCAAGGCGGCGACGGGUAGCCGGACUGAGAGGUUGGUCGGCCACAUUGGGACUGAGAUACGGCCCAGACUCCUACGGGAGGCAGCAGUGGGGAAUAUUGCACAAGGGGCGCAAGCCUGAUGCAGCGACGCCGCGGGGGGGAUGACGGCCUUCGGGUUGUAAACUCCUUUCGCCAGGGACGAAGCGUUUUGUGACGGUACCUGGAGAAGAAGCACCGGCUAACUACGUG